AGAGUUUGAUCAUGGCUCAGGAUGAACGCUGGCGGCGUGCUUAACACAUGCAAGUCGAACGAAGCACCUCUCCCGUGGAAUGGAACAGCUUGCUGGGAAAGGAAACAAUUGAGGUGACUGAGUGGCGGACGGGUGAGUAACGCGUGGGUAACCUACCUCAUAGAGGGGGACAACAGUUGGAAACGACUGCUAAUACCGCAUAGUAAGGGAGGAUCGCAUGAUACUUUCUUGAAAGAUUUAUCGCUAUGAGAUGGACCCGCGUCUGAUUAGCUAGUUGGUAAGGUAACGGCUUACCAAGGCAACGAUCAGUAGCCGGCUUGAGAGAGUGAACGGCCACAUUGGGACUGAGACACGGCCCAAACUCCUACGGGAGGCAGCAGUGGGGAAUAUUGCACAAUGGGGGGAACCCUGAUGCAGCGACGCCGCGUGAGUGAAGAAGUAUUUCGGUAUGUAAAGCUCUAUCAGCAGGGAAGAUAAUGACGGUACCUGACUAAGAAGCCCCGGCUAACUACGUGCCAGCAGCCGCGGUAAUACGUAGGGGGCAAGCGUUAUCCGGAUUUACUGGGUGUAAAGGGUGCGUAGGUGGCAAGGCAAGUCAGAUGUGAAAAUUACGGGCUCAACUCGUAACCUGCGUCUGAAACUGUUUUUCUUGAGGGUCGGAGAGGUAACUGGAAUUCCUGGUGUAGCGGUGAAAUGCGUAGAUAUCAGGAGGAACACCGGUGGCGAAGGCGAGUUACUGGACGAUUACUGACGCUGAGACACGAAAGUGUGGGGAGCAAACAGGAUUAGAUACCCUGGUAGUCCACACUGUAAACGAUGAAUGCUAGGUGUGGGGGCGAAAGCUUCCGUGCCGCAGUUAACACAAUAAGCAUUCCACCUGGGGAGUACGGCCGCAAGGUUGAAACUCAAAGGAAUUGACGGGAGCCCGCACAAGCAGUGGAGUAUGUGGUUUAAUUCGACGCAACGCGAAGAACCUUACCAGGACUUGACAUCCCAAGAAGUCGGCGUAAUGGCUGAUGUGCCCCUUCGGGGGAAUUUGGUGACAGGUGGUGCAUGGUUGUCGUCAGCUCGUGUCGUGAGAUGUUGGGUUAAGUCCCGCAACGAGCGCAACCCUUACGGUUAGUUGCUACGCAAGAGCACUCUGGCCGGACUGCCGUUGACAAAACGGAGGAAGGUGGGGACGACGUCAAAUCAUCAUGCCCCUUACGUUCUGGGCUACACACGUACUACAAUGGCGAAAACAAAGGGAAGCGAUACCGCGAGGUGGAGCAAACCCCAUAAAAAUCGUCUCAGUUCGGACUGCAGGCUGCAACCCGCCUGCACGAAGCUGGAAUUGCUAGUAAUCGCGGGUCAGCAUACCGCGGUGAAUACGUUCCCGGGCUUUGCACACACCGCCCGU
rnacentral:rRNA from 1 species